rnacentral:rRNA from 1 species
CUCAGGACGAACGCUGGCGGCGUGCUUAACACAUGCAAGUCGAACGGAAAGGCCCUGCUUUUGUGGGGUGCUCGAGUGGCGAACGGGUGAGUAACACGUGAGUACCUGCCCUUGACUUUGGGAUAACUUCAGGAAACUGGGGCUAAUACCGGAUAGGAGCUCCUGCUGCAUGGUGGGGGUUGGAAAGUUUCGGCGGUUGGGGAUGGACUCGCGGCUUAUCAGCUUGUUGGUGGGGUAGUGGCUUACCAAGGCUUUGACGGGUAGCCGGCCUGAGAGGGUGACCGGCCACAUUGGGACUGAGAUACGGCCCAGACUCCUACGGGAGGCAGCAGUGGGGAAUAUUGCACAAUGGGCGGAAGCCUGAUGCAGCAACGCCGCGUGCGGGAUGACGGCCUUCGGGUUGUAAACCGCUUUCGCCUGUGACGAAGCGUGAGUGACGGUAAUGGGUAAAGAAGCACCGGCUAACUACGUGCCAGCAGCCGCGGUGAUACGUAGGGUGCGAGCGUUGUCCGGAUUUAUUGGGCGUAAAGGGCUCGUAGGUGGUUGAUCGCGUCGGAAGUGUAAUCUUGGGGCUUAACCCUGAGCGUGCUUUCGAUACGGGUUGACUUGAGGAAGGUAGGGGAGAAUGGAAUUCCUGGUGGAGCGGUGGAAUGCGCAGAUAUCAGGAGGAACACCAGUGGCGAAGGCGGUUCUCUGGGCCUUUCCUGACGCUGAGGAGCGAAAGCGUGGGGAGCGAACAGGCUUAGAUACCCUGGUAGUCCACGCUGUAAACGGUGGGUACUAGGUGUGGGGUCCAUUCCACGGGUUCCGUGCCGUAGCUAACGCUUUAAGUACCCCGCCUGGGGAGUACGGCCGCAAGGCUAAAACUCAAAGGAAUUGACGGGGCCCCGCACAAGCGGCGGAGCAUGCGGAUUAAUUCGAUGCAACGCGUAGAACCUUACCUGGGUUUGACAUGGAUCGGGAGUGCUCAGAGAUGGGUGUGCCUCUUUUGGGGUCGGUUCACAGGUGGUGCAUGGCUGUCGUCAGCUCGUGUCGUGAGAUGUUGGGUUAAGUCCUGCAACGAGCGCAACCCUUGUUCACUGUUGCCAGCACGUUAUGGUGGGGACUCAGUGGAGACCGCCGGGGUCAACUCGGAGGAAGGUGGGGAUGACGUCAAGUCAUCAUGCCCCUUAUGUCCAGGGCUUCACGCAUGCUACAAUGGCUGGUACAGAGAGUGGCGAGCCUGUGAGGGUGAGCGAAUCUCGGAAAGCCGGUCUCAGUUCGGAUUGGGGUCUGCAACUCGACCUCAUGAAGUCGGAGUCGCUAGUAAUCGCAGAUCAGCAACGCUGCGGUGAAUACGUUCCCGGGGCUUGUACACACCGCCCGUCAAGUCAUGAAAGUUGGUAACACCCGAAGCCGGUGGCCUAACCGUUGUGGGGGAGCCGUCGAAGGUGGGACUGGUGAUUAGGACUAAGUCGUAACAAGGU